rnacentral:tRNA from 14 species
GCCGGUAUAGCUCAGCAGGUAGAGCAACUGACUUGUAAUCAGUAGGUCCCGGGUUCGAUUCCUGGUGCCGGCACCA